rnacentral:rRNA from 1 species
UACGUAGGGUGCGAGCGUUAAUCGGAAUUACUGGGCGUAAAGCGUGCGCAGGCGGUGAUGUAAGACAGAUGUGAAAUCCCCGGGCUCAACCUGGGAACUGCAUUUGUGACUGCAUCGCUGGAGUACGGCAGAGGGGGAUGGAAUUCCGCGUGUAGCAGUAAAAUGCGUAGAUAUGCGGAGGAACACCGAUGGCGAAGGCAAUCCCCUGGGCCUGUACUGACGCUCAUGCACGAAAGCGUGGGGAGCAAACAGG